AGAGGAAGAAGUUUAUAUGAAAUUGCCUCCUGGACUGGCAAUCACCUGUGCUACCUCUUCUUCUCCUUUGGUUUGUCUACUUCAGAAAUCUUUGUAUGGUUUAAGACAAGCUUCUAGGCAGUGGUAUGCCAAGCUGUCCCAGGCCUUAUGUUCUAAGGGAUUUUCUUCUUCUCUCAAUGACUAUUCUCUUUUCCUUAAGAAAUCUGGCUCUUCUAUUGUCUUGUUGGAUGUCUAUGUUGAUGACAUUAUUCUCUAUUCUCUUUGCUUAAGAAAGUUGGUUCUUCCAUUGUCUUGUUGGAUGUCUAUGUUGAUGACAUUAUUCUUACUGGUAAUGAUUUGGAGGAGAUCACUGCUUUGAAAAGAUUUCUGGAUCAUGAGUUUAAAAUCAAGGACUUGGGGGUCCUCAACUAUUUUCUUGGAAUUGAGGUCAGUUAUCACUCUGAUGGGCUUCUUCUCCACCAGAAGAAGUUUAUCACUGACCUGCUCAAAGCCUAUCACUGUGAGGAUGUUUCUCCUGUUACUUGCCCUCUUGACCUCUCUGUUAAACUCAAACUGGAUAUGGGGGAUCCUCUUCCCUCUCCUGAAUCCUAUAGGUGCUUAGUGGGGAAACUCAAUUUUCUCACCCACACUAGACCUGACUUGACCUUUUGUUGUACAUUAUUUGAGUCAAUUUCUCAAAUUCCCCACACUAGACCUGAUUUGGCCUUUGUUGUACAUCAUUUGAGUCAAUAUCUUCAGAAGCCUACCUCCUCUCAUAUGCAUGCAACUUUGCAUAUCCUGAGAUAUCUUAGAGGCACUUCUGAGCUUGGAAUCUUCCUCAGCAACACACCUGACCUCUCCUUAUCUGCUUAUUGUGAUAGUGACUGGGCUUCCUGCCCAGACACCAGAAGAUCUGUCUCUG
rnacentral:lncRNA from 1 species